rnacentral:rRNA from 1 species
UACGUAGGUGGCAAGCGUUGUCCGGAAUUAUUGGGCGUAAAGCGCGCGCAGGCGGUCCUUUAAGUCUGAUGCGAAAGCCCACGGCUCAACCGUGGAGGGUCAUUGGAAACUGGGGGACUUGAGUGCAGAAGAGGAAAGCGGAAUUCCACGUGUAGCGGUGAAAUGCGUAGAGAUGUGGAAGAACACCAGUGGCGAAGGCGGCUUUCUGGUCUGUAACUGACGCUGAGGCGCGAAAGCUAGGGGAGCAAACAGG